rnacentral:rRNA from 1 species
GACGAACGCUGGCGGCGUGCUUAACACAUGCAAGUCGAACGGAAAGGCCCUGCUUUUGUGGGGUGCUCGAGUGGCGAACGGGUGAGUAACACGUGAGUAACCUGCCCUUGACUUUGGGAUAACUUCCGGAAACUGGGGCUAAUACCGGAUCGGAGCUCCUGCUGCAUGGUGGGGGUUGGAAAGUUUCGGCGGUUGGGGAUGGACUCGCGGCUUAUCAGCUUGUUGGUGGGGUAGUGGCUUACCAAGGCUUUGACGGGUAGCCGGCCUGUGAGGGUGGCCGGCCACAUUGGGACUGAGAUACGGCCCAGACUCCUACGGGAGGCAGCAGUGGGGAAUAUUGCACAAUGGGCGGAAGCCUGAUGCAGCAACGCCGCGUGCGGGAUGACGGCCUUCGGGUUGUAAACCGCUUUCGCCUGUGACGAAGCGUGAGUGACGGUAAUGGGUAAAGAAGCACCGGCUAACUACGUG